GAUGAACGCUGGCGGCGUGCCUAAUACAUGCAAGUCGAGCGAACAGACGAGGAGCUUGCUCCUCUGACGUUAGCGGCGGACGGGUGAGUAACGCGUGGAUAACCUACCUAUAAGACUGGGAUCACUUCGGAAAACCGGCGCUAAUCCCGUAUAAUAUAUUGAACCGCAGGGUUCAAUAGUGAAAGACGGUUUUGCUGUCACUUCUCGAUGGAUCCGCGCCGCAUGAGCUAGUUGGUAAGUUAAUGGGUUACCAAGGCGACGAGGCGUAGCCGACGUGAGAGGGUGAUCGGCCACAUGGGAACUGAGACACGGUCCAGACUCCUACGGGACGCAGCAGUAGGGAAUCUUCCGCAAUGGGCGAAAGUCUGACGGAGCAACGCCGCGUGAGUGAUGAAGGUCUUCGGAUCGUAAAACUCUGUUAUUAGGGAAGAACAAAUGUGUAAGUAACUAUGCACGUCUUGACGGUAACUAAUCAGAAAGCCACGGCUAACUACGUG
rnacentral:rRNA from 1 species